rnacentral:rRNA from 1 species
GACGUAGGGCGCGAGCGUUGUCCGGAUUUAUUGGGCGUAAAGAGCUCGUAGGCGGCUUGUUGCGUCGACCGUGAAAACCCGGGGCUCAACUUCGGGCUUGCGGUCGAUACGGGCGGGCUAGAGUUCGGUAGGGGAGACUGGAAUUCCUGGUGUAGCGGUGAAAUGCGCAGAUAUCAGGAGGAACACCGAUGGCGAAGGCAGGUCUCUGGGCAUUAACUGACGCUGAGACGCGAAAGCGUGGGGAGCAAACAGG